UCCGAAUUGGUGUAGGGGUUAACAUUGCCGCCUCUCAGGAUUACGUAAACACAAACCCCGCCUCGUAACUGGUGCGCGGCAGCCCGGGGUUCGAUUCCCCGAUUCGGAA